GGUGAUCUAUCCAUUGCUGGCAGUGGGGUAUUGAAAUCUCCUACUAUUACUGUAUUGCUCUCUAAUUCUUCCUUCAGAUCUCACAAGAAGAACAACUAACAACUAUUCAGAGGCAAGACAUGAAUGAAAAAAUCCUAGAACACGGGACUGAGAAGGAAGCACCCCCUGCACCAGAGACCAAGACAGACUGCAGUAGAAGGUUCACUCUAAAGUUAUACAGCAAAGGAAACCAUAAGCAAGACGAAAAGACA